AGCCUUUCCUCGCAGGCGGGGCGCUCCAUCGCUCCGACCACGCUGCCGCCCCUCUGGGCCCGCACAGAGCCCGUGUCCAGCCGGGCGGCGCUCCCGGCCCCGGGGGCGGCACUGGGCGGCGGAGCAGGCGCGGAGGUCCCGGGGCCGCGGCGCAGAGCGCGGACCCCUCCGCCCAGCCCGGCGCUCCGCGGCCGGCAGAGCUGAGGGCGGGCCGGGCCGGGCGCUCCGUGGGGCUCCUCCUCCGGCACCACCGCUGUUUCCUGCCGGCCGGCGGAGAGCCGGGCGCUGCCGCCGCAGGUUGCAGUUCAUAGAGAGCUGUCACUGUACAGCUGAGACAGAAGAAAUUGUCACCUCCCAUUCUUGUGCAUCACCAUAUGGCAUCCCCUAUACGGACAGGCACAGGGUUUGGAGACGCCG